AACGAACGCUAGCGGUGUGGAUUAGGCAUGCAAGUCGCGCGCGAAAGCCUUCGGGCGAGUAAAGCGGCGAAAGGGUGAGUAACACGUAACCAACGUACCCCUCAGACUGGGAGUAACCACUGGAAACGGUGGAUAAUACCGGAUGGUCCACUGGGCAGCAUUGCCUGGCUGGUAAACGGCGGCCGCAAGGCGGUUGCUGAGGGAGCGGGUUGCGGCCUAUCAGCUUGUUGGUGAGGUAACGGCUCACCAAGGCUAUGACGGGUAACAGGUCUGAGAGGAUGAUCUGUCACACUGGGACUGAGACACUGCCCAGACUCCUACGGGAGGCUGCAGUCGAGAAUCUUCCACAAUGGGCGAAAGCCUGAUGGAGCGACACCGCGUUGCAGGAUGAAGGCC
rnacentral:rRNA from 1 species